ACGGUCUGCCUGUUGCCCCAGUUCACUGCCACACCCUCACCCCACACAUACACAACAGACCUCUCCUUUAGUUUUCAAGCCACUAGGCAAUUGAAAUGUUUGUGUGAAUUUUCACAUAAAGUCUAGUCUUUGUGUCAAAUGUGCAAUAAGCCUCAACAUUUGCAUAGAGCAAACAAGGAAGUCUUGUUAGGAAAUUUGUUCCUUAGGAGCUUAUGUCUUAAAUUGGACUGGUGCCUUUUGUUGUCACAGUUGUUUUUAUAAUGACAUGCACAUAGGUUUGCCUUUCUGAAUUCUUAUGUUGAAUCUACUGUUGGUUGGCACCUGCCACUAGCAUAAAUUUCUACUCUUUCAAUCAGUGGGACAAAUUCACAUGCCAGUCGAGGCUGAUUCACCUGUUUAGGGCUGUGAGUGAUUUGAAGAGGACUACCUUCUCAGCACUUCUUUGGCCCAGAGUCACAGGAACCCUCUUCUCAAGAAUGUGGUCCUGGGACCUCUGAGAGGGUCUGGAAUUAGGGUUCAGGUACCAUCCAUCUGUUACGUGCUUUGAAGAUGCCACUCCAUCUGUGGGAUUCAAUUUACAUAAACUGAAGACUAUUCUUCUGAGUUGAAGUGAGGAGAGGCAUCAAUCACACUGGAAAAUUAUUUGAUCUCCUGGAAGCAAAAAGUCCACCAUGAAGUUGUUCUUGCCAUGGACUUCUAGAGGAGCUGACUGUCCUUUGGGAAGCUACAAAUACAGCCUUAAAAUCUGUUAGCAGGGAAGAGAGGCUUUUUCUGAGUGAUCAGCAAGCUCCAUUCUGAAAGUGCUG
rnacentral:lncRNA from 1 species